UACGUAGGGUGCAAGCGUUGUCCGGAAUUAUUGGGCGUAAAGAGCUCGUAGGCGGUUUGUCGCGUCUGCUGUGAAAACUCGGGGCUUAACUCCGGGCCUGCAGUGGGUACGGGCAGACUAGAGUGCGGUAGGGGAGACUGGAAUUCCUGGUGUAGCGGUGGAAUGCGCAGAUAUCAGGAGGAACACCGGUGGCGAAGGCGGGUCUCUGGGCAGUAACUGACGCUGAGGAGCGAAAGCGUGGGGAGCAAACAGG
rnacentral:rRNA from 1 species